AGUAAAUAGAUACCCAGGUAGUCCUAGCCGUAAACGAUACUCGCUAGGUGUCGGCCACGGUGCGACCGUUGUCGGUGCCGUAGGGAAAGCCGUGAAGCGAGCCACCUGGGAAGUACGGCCGCAAGGCUGAAACUUAAAGGAAUUGGCGGGGGAGCACCACAACGGGUGGAGCUUGCGGUUUAAUUGGAUUCAACGCCGGAAAUCUUACCGGGACCGACAGCGAUAUGAAGGCCAGGCUGAAGACUUUGCCGGAUUAGCUGAGAGGUGGUGCAUGGCCGUCGUCAGUUCGUACUGUGAAAGCAUCCUGUUAAGUCAGGCAACGAGCGAGACCCACGCCCACAGUUGCCAGCGUACUCUCCGGAGUGACGGGUACACUGUGGGGACCGCCGCUGCUAAAGCGGAGGAAGGAAUGGGCAACGGUAGGUCAGUAUGCCCCGAAUAUCCCGGGCUACACGCGAGCUACAAUGGUUGGAACAAUGGGUAUCUACCCCGAAAGGGGAUGGAAAUCUCCUAAAUCCAAUCUUAGUUCGGAUUGAGGGCUGCAACUCGCCCUC
rnacentral:rRNA from 1 species